GCAGUUUUACGUCUAAACGCAAUUUUACGUCUAGACGCAGUUUCAAAGGGAUCUGAACUUUAGAAACUCGUUCGUAAAAGCGCAGAAGACAGUUUUGCAGAAUCAAGGCGUAAACGUAAACUGCGAUGUAAAUAUCGUACGAAAACGCUGGUUUACGUCUGAAAGCAGAUUCGGACAGAUCAGCACUUAAAAACUUGUUUGCCCUCAUGCGAGUCUUCCAAUAUGUGUAAUCCGACCCAUUAAACAAAGGUGGUCGUGCAAUAGAAUGGCCCUCUUGCAUGCCGGAGUAAGCCAUCUCUCUUGGGUAUUAAACCAAAUAUGAGAGAUAACCUCGCUCUGAUACCACUUGUUAGGAUCGGAGCGGCACUAAGAGGGGGGGGUGAAUUAGUGCAGCGGAUUAAAACUUCGAUUUUAAUCAAAAACUUUCGUACGUUAAGAACGAA
rnacentral:lncRNA from 1 species